rnacentral:rRNA from 1 species
UACGAAGGGGGCUAGCGUUGUUCGGAAUUACUGGGCGUAAAGCGCGCGCAGGCGGUUCUUUAAGUCAGGGUGAAAGCCCAGAGCUCAACUCUGGAAUUGCCUUUGAAACUAGAGAACUUGGGUACGGGAGAGGUGAGUGGAAUUCCGAGUGUAGAGGUGAAAUUCGUAGAUAUUCGGAAGAACACCAGUGGCGAAGGCGGCUCACUAGCCCAUAACUGACGCUGAGGCACGAAAGCGUGGGGAG